ensembl:lncRNA
UAUUGUCUAUAAUUCUUUAUUAAUGUUUUUAUUAUUUUUUAUUAUUAUUGAUAACAUUAAAACGCCCACAAUAACUGACAUCACUUCUCUAGUUUAUGACAUUGACACAGGAACAUGGGAACAAAUGCAGAGUCACAAUUUCAGCCCAACUACAGAGUUAACUUCCAAAAGAUAACAGGAGACCCAGAGAACACAUAGCCAAGAGUUGUCUGGUAGCAAAGGAACAACCACCUCUACAAAAGUAACAAAACUCCUUACUAUCUAUCAUUGUGGAAGUGCUUGUAAUUUUGGAAGUUUGUAAUUUCCAAAAGGAUAUUAAUAAUAUGAAUGCCUAGAAAAUGGCCAAUAGAAAUCUCUCUGUAAAAAUUGGCUAGCAGGACAACCCUUGGCUGUGCAUUUUGUCACUAACUCUAUGUACUUUUUUUUGUUGAACUUUUCUUUAAUACAACAACAAUAACACUGUUCUUUAAUACAAAUAUAUACAGAGGUUUCAACUUGUUUAAAAAAUAAUGCCCUACACACUAAUGCAUUGUCUAUAAUAAAGUUGAUUUUCAUUAGAUUUUUUUCCUUCACAGAAACUGUCCAUGCAGUUUGGUACCUGAAUCGUCGUAAUUAGGUCACAGUUUCUUUACCAUUAUAACAUAUUGAUGUUUUGUGUCUCUGUAACAGCGUGAAUGUGUCACCACGGCAACAGGCCUGCCUGCCUGUCAAAGACAUAUAUUUAAUCAGCUUUUUUAGAAUAGCCACCCAAACCCUCCCUUAUCCCCUGAAAAAGCCGUCUUCACCCCUGCCAACCUCUUGAGCAGGAUUUUGUACCAGCUUCUUCAAAUGUAAACAUACCUUUGCCUGCAAUGAGUGGAGAGAGAAAGGCACACAUGAUAAAAGCACACAGCUUUAAGCUACAGUACCUACAGAGGGAGUUUGGUUUUGGUUUGAUUAGCUCAAUGACAUGUUAUACCAUUCUACUAGACAUGCCUUUCUGCCUUUCAUGUGAUCUACUUUGAUUUUUUUAAAUGUAUUUUUUCAUUUUUGAGUUUCUGAAUUGGAUGAGAAUGUUUUGAAGUAUAGACACCAAACGAUUGGGUCCCUCCCUUGUCUUUCCCUGAAGAGAACAGAAUCAGGGGACCAUUCUCAGGGGCCUCCAGAUGUGUACAGCACCUAGCUCGGAAUAGGGAACUUUGGGCUAUCUUCCCUCGUGUUCACAGGGUACUCGAAUGUGGCCUUGCCUGUCCUCCCUUUAACUGGUGAAGCAGGCCUGGAAAGAGAAGACACGGGAUCUCUGUGUAUCCUGGCCUGUCACAGACUAACAUAUUAGGUCAUUGUUUUAAUUUUUUUUUUUUUUUUUUUAAAUAUAUGUACCAUUAUUCAGGGAGAUUCACAGGUAUGUGAUCAUUGUUUAUCAGAGCAAACAGACACACUGUGUUUUUACAACCACUACAUGAGACCACAUCAUUCACAACUAUCAACUGAAAAGGAUCGUUUUCACAUGCCAUGGUACAAUCACAUGCCAUGGUACAAUCACAUACCAUGGUACAAUCACAUACCAUGGUACAAUCACAUACCAUGGUACAAUCACAUGCCAUGGUACAAUCACAUGCCAUGGUACAAUCACAUACCAUGGUACAAUCACAUGCCAUGGUACAAUCACAUACCAUGGUACAAUCACAUACCAUGGUACAAUCACAUGCCAUGGUACAAUCACAUGCCAUGGUACAAUCACAUACCAUGGUACAAUCACAUGCCAUGGUACAAUCACAUGCCAUGGUACAAUCACAUGCCAUGGUACAAUCACAUGCCAUGGUACAAUCACAUGCCAUGGUACAAUCACAUGCCAUGGUACAAUCACAUGCCAUGGUACAAUCACAUGCCAUGGUACAAUCACAUACCAUGGUACAAUCACAUGCCAUGGUACAAUCACAUACCAUGGUACAAUCACAUACCAUGGUACAAUCACAUACCAUGGUACAAUCACAUGCCAUGGUACAAUCACAUGCCAUGGUACAAUCACAUGCCAUGGUACAAUCACAUGCCAUGGUACAAUCACAUGCCAUGGUACAAUCACAUACCAUGGUACAAUCACAUACCAUGGUACAAUCACAUACCAUGGUACAAUCACAUGCCAUGGUACAAUCACAUACCAUGGUACAAUCACAUACCAUGGUACAAUCACAUGCCAUGGUACAAUCACAUGCCAUGGUACAAUCACAUACCAUGGUACAAUCACAUACCAUCCAUGUUCCUCCAUCACAUUUCAUCAGCAGUCAUGAACGUUAACAUGACCAUGCAUUUAACCGACCAGUCAAACACCCUGGUCCGUGUCAAUGGAACACAGUCCAGCUUCAGAGCUUCUAUCCCAUCCCAAUGGACCAUUUAGAAAAUACUGAACCAUCACGAAUACGGAACACAUAAACUCCUUAUAUGAAGAAUAUGUCCAUCACUCCCUAUCAAACGGACAAGCUGUUGUUGUUAACACUCUUGAUUACAUUGAGUUCUGUACCUAAUCUUUAUAACUGUGUUGGACUGUCAUUUUGCUAUUUAAUCUCAGUAUCUCAGUGCUGUUCAACUAGUUUCAAAGGGGUCAUGCCAUAUCAAAAAAGAUACGCUAAUGAUCACAACCUUCAUACUCUCGUAGUGUUGUAAGCUCAUGCAUUAAAGGGUUGGGAGAAGAAUAAGCUACUUUCUUAACUAAAUGCAUCAAGAACUCCUUCCUGAGUAAAGGUUACACAAUACAGAAGGGGAGAAGCCAUUAAAAGGUUUUGACAUUCUGAGUAAUGGACACAUAUUUAUGCAACAAACACCUCUUCCAAACCAAGAGGGAGACCUCUAAUGCAGCAAUUCAAUCUCCACUCCCACACGUUCCUCUCUUUUCACUUGGAGGGCUUGAUCCAAUCCCUGCUAUCGCCGCAGGCUUUGGCUAAUGCCCUAGUAUCAUAUUAUUAUGCAGAUUUAGUCAGUUCUUUCCAGUAACCUGCGAGCCAAACUCUGCUUCCCCUUGUAUGGUGUGAAGAGUAUUACUGGCAUGUAUAAAAACCUGAUACCAUCAAUUGAAUCAACCCUCCGGACACUGAUGCAAAGGGCAUUCUACAUAUCAGUGUUUAGAUUUACAUUAAAUAUAACAAAACAGGUCAAAUAUGCAGUUCUUUGUUUCUUCUGCUGGGGUGAAUACCGGUACUUUGCUAGUGACCAAAACCCAGUGUGUUCUAAAAAGUCCAAACUCAAAUGCUCGCAUAUUCAAUGGUUUUUAAAAAAGUGCCCAAGAGAGUUUCAUUACACUGGCUAAAAGCUAAUUACACCAUCCAUGCCCACUAGGUUACCUCAUUAUAUUAUCACAGGGUCUCCCACUAGGUUACCUCAUCAUAUUAUCACAGGGUCUCCCACUAGGUUACCUCAUCAUAUUAUCACAGGGUCUCCCACUAGGUUACCUCAUCAUAUUAUCACAGGGUCUCCCACUAGGUUACCUCAUCAUAUUAUCACAGGGUCUCCCACUAGGUUACCUCAUCAUAUUAUCACAGGGUCUCCCACUAGGUUACCUCAUCAUAUUAUCACAGGGUCGCCCACUAGGUUACCUCAUCAUAUUAUCACAGGGUCUCCCACUAGGCUACCUCAUUAUAUUAUCACAGGGUCUCCCACUAGGUUACCUCAUCAUAUUAUCACAGGGUCUCCCACUAGGUUACCUCAUCAUAUUAUCACAGGGUCUCCCACUAGGUUACCUCAUCAUAUUAUCACAGGGUCGCCCACUAGGUUACCUCAUCAUAUUAUCACAGGGUCUCCCACUAGGCUACCUCAUUAUAUUAUCACAGGGUCUCCCACUAGGUUACCUCAUCAUAUUAUCACAGGGUCUCCCACUAGGUUACCUCAUCAUAUUAUCACAGGGUCUCCCACUAGGUUACCUCAUCAUAUUAUCUAUCUACUACACUUUCCCUAUUGGCUUUUUAACAUUGUGAUCCGUGUUUAAAAACUCCGCUCAGUGGGCUGACAUGAUCAUAACCUUAUCAUAACGACACAGUACUGCACAAUAUAGCCAAUGUGACUACUAUGAAGAGUCCUCUAUACAUGAACUCACUCACACGACACUUGAACAAAGAGCCAACCAUUUAGUUAAAACGACAGUCAUUUCAGAUUCAUUACAACAGACGUUAGCAUUUACAACAUGUCGACUUUGGGUCCUUGAAAAAGCACUAUAUAAGUCCCAUGUAUUGUUAUUAUUAUUAUCGUCAUCAUGUUUGGAUCAAGGAUAGAGAAGAAAAGGAAACCUAAAAAACAAUGACGGUUUUGUUGAGUAUCUUUAAAACCACAGUCAUAACCACCUCUAGUCGUCACAACUCUCAAACAACUACUGUUCCUUUGAUAAGCUAAUACAAGAGAAAAAUAGUCAACAAUUACACUGGAAAAAUAUAUGUAUGUUUCUAUUCAUAUAUAUAUAUAUAUAUAUAUAUAUAUAUAUAGCAUUUGAAAUUCUAUUUAUACAGAAUGUAUAUAUAGUGUACUUAUGGCCAUCUUGGCAAAGAAAUAAAGGCAUCUGAAACAAUCCCAACUCUCGGUCAUGUCAUGUGACGCCCUGGUCAUGUCAUGUGACCAGACAUCGUACAUUGCAGAAUGCAAAGAAUCAGGAAAGAAACUGAGUGGUAGUGGCACUUUGUGCAUCAACAAAUGUCAUCUAGAAUAAGGCUACAAGGGCGUAGAAGUGGAUGUGAUAUAAAUUGUCAAAGAGGUCAUCCUCCUUGAUGGUUUAGUUUUUUCUUGAAGAUGUCCUUUACAUGUCUUAGACCCAGACAUCCAGUCUAGACGGAACAUUCCGGAACAGAGCUCUUUGGAGCUUCUGCUCAACACAUUGAGAGAAAAUAAUGACAAGAGAAAAAUAAUUUAUCAAAAGGCAUUAAAACAUCUAUAGUACAUUAAAGAUGUUUUGGGUAAGCCAGUGUUGGCCGCUACAAAGCGCUUGGAGAGGUAACAUUUGAUCCUUAUAUCUGUCUAUUUUCUUAGUCUUAUUUUUCCUGACAAAAAGCAAAUAAAUCAUCGAUGACACAAAGCCACUCUGACACCACCAGAACAGUGAUUGCUUUCGUUAGUUAUUUUGCUUUUACAACUGCUGAUAUAUCUAGGAAAGCCUAAGUAAUCAAACAAUAUUCUAUUUAUUCUUUCUGAGCAUGGUUUUUAAAAUUGUAUUUAAAUAUUAGAAAUGGAUUUUAACACUACUGAUACUCAGCCAUCACAACACACACAUAAAUAACAAAAUAAAUAUACAAUCAUAUCAAUAUUUAAUAUGAAAUAAAUAAUAAAUACAUACUUUCUUUUUAAGCCGUGGGUAUCUGAAGACACAGAUAAAAGAAAUAGCAUAAAUGAAGGAGAAAACCUUUAUAAAAUUAUCAAAACAUUGUCAUUUAUAAAAUAUUUGCAAUUAAAAAUGUUUACAAAUUAUUUAAAAUAAAAUAAGAUAUAUAAAAUAAUCAAGUGUGGACAGUUGUCUAAAUAGCUUUUUAAAUAUUGAUGUAGAAGACUUCCUAUUUUAAAUCUUUAUGGCCAUGAUCGACCAGCAGGGUUGCAUUUUUUGAUUUACUAAAUAUACAUUUAAUUGUUUUUUUAAAUAAAUAGACCAAAUCAAAUAAAUACACAUAAAAUGACAAUACAUUACAAUUUGCGUAUUCACAAAUGUAAAUAAUUUCUAUAACAAUAAAUAUUGUACCACAAACUAACAGGAAUAGACAAGUGUGCACUCCAUUACCAUCACCGUUCAGUUCAAAGAAAGAAGGCUGCAUCUGUUGCUCUCAGAUCUUCCAGCAGAUAUAUAGAGAAGGUUGUUGAUUUUCAGAAGAGGAAAAAGAAACCAUUGAUUUGUGACUUAAUCUUCGCUUGAAGAGCUGCUUUCCUCUGAAUUGAGACAAGACAUGGAGUCAUGUUGACAUCUUGCUGCAGUAACAACACUAAGCACAUGAACCAUUGCUCAAGAAGACCCCAGAGUUCAGGGAUUCUCCAUUCACUUCUACACAAUAGGAGUGCUGUAGUGCUCAGAAUCACACACUACCCACUCAUACACAAGCCCUCUCACCUUAUCCUGACCCAGAACAACAUUGCUGAAGCCUUCGUGUCUUCUCUGGGACACAAUGUGUACAGUUUUCCAGUGUGUUUUCUUCACCUCAUGUUGGCAGGUCAUACCCUCUGUCUUAUCUGGCACCAUACCACUACUUCCAUCCUUCGUUCUUUCUUUCUUUCUUCUCCAAAUUGUUGCUGAACUAAACCUUGAAUUACAGUAUGAAUUGGGACAGUCAAACAGAUACCUCCAAAACAGAGAUACCUCCAAAACAGAGAUACCUCCAAAACAGAGAUACCUCCAAAACAGAGAUGCCUCCAAAACAGAGAUACCUCCAAAACAGAGAUGCCUCCAAAACAGAGAUACCUCCAAAACAGAGAUGCCUCC